UACGUAGGGGGCGAGCGUUGUCCGGAGUUACUGGGCGUAAAGGGCAUGCAGGCGGUCGGACGCGUUUCGGGCGACAGCGGGUGGCUUAACUACCCGAGUGGUCGAAAGACGGUUUGACUUGAGGACGCGAGAGGGACACGGAAUUCCGGGUGGAGUGGUGAAAUGCGUAGAGAUCCGGAGGAACACCGAAGGCGAAGGCAGUGUCCUGGCGCGUAACUGACGCUGAGGUGCGAAAGCCAGGGGAGCGAACGGG
rnacentral:rRNA from 1 species